rnacentral:rRNA from 1 species
GACGAACGCUGGCGGCGUGCUUAACACAUGCAAGUCGAACGAAGUGGCGAACGGGUGAGUAACGCGUAAUCAACCUGCCCUUCAGAGGGGGAUAACAGUUGGAAACGACUGCUAAUACCGCAUACUGAAGGAGGGGAUUGCGUCUGUUUAGCGAGUUGGCGGGGUAACGGCCCACCAAGGCGAUGAUCAGUAGCCGGUCGUAAAUGAUGAGCGGCCACAGUGGGACUGAGACACGGCCCAGACUCCUUCGGGAGGGAGCAGUGGGGAAUCUUCCGAAAUGGACGAAAGUCUGACGGAUCAACGCCGCGUGAGUGAUGACGGCCUUCGGGUUGUAAAGCUCUGUUAAUCGGGACGCGGUACCGGAAUAGAAAGCCACGGCUAACUACGUGCCAGCCGCCGCGGUAAUUC